ensembl:lncRNA
AUUUGUGAAUCAGUUUAUUGGUGAGUCAGUUUAUUUGUGAGUUAGUUUAUUUGUGAGUCAGUUUAUUUGUGAGUCAGUUUGUUUGUGAGUCAGUUUGUGAGUGUGAUUAUUUGUGAGUCAGUUUAUUUGUGAGUCAGUUUGUGAGUCAGUUUAUUUGUGAGUCAGUUUAUUUGUGAGUCAGUUUGUUUGUGAGUCAGUUUGUUUGUGAGUGUGAUUAUUUGUGAGUCAGUUUAUUUGUGAGUCAGUUUAUUUGUGAGUCAGUUUAUUUGUGAGUCUGUGUAUUUGUGAGUCAGUUUAUUUGUGAGUCAGUUUAUUUGUGAGUCUGUGUAUUUGUGAGUCAGUUUAUUUGUGAGUCUGUGUAUUUGUGAGUCAGUUUAUUUGUGAGUCUGUGUAUUUGUGAGUCAGUUUAUUUCUGAGUCUGUGUAUUUGUGAGUCUGUG